UACGUAGGGCGCAAGCGUUGUCCGGAAUUAUUGGGCGUAAAGGGCUCGUAGGCGGUUUGUCGCGUCGGGAGUGAAAACUCAGGGCUUAACCCUGAGCCUGCUUCCGAUACGGGCAGACUAGAGGUAUGCAGGGGAGAACGGAAUUCCUGGUGUAGCGGUGAAAUGCGCAGAUAUCAGGAGGAACACCGGUGGCGAAGGCGGUUCUCUGGGACGGUACUGACGCUGAGACGCGAAAGCGUGGGGAGCGAACAGG
rnacentral:rRNA from 1 species